UGAACGACUUCGUCUACGCUCCACUCCAGAGGAUUUCUGUCCAAAACCAGCUGUCCCUCCUCCUCCACCAUCUGACACACAUACAAAAAGCACACGUGUU